GCCGCGGUAGCUCAAUUGGUCGAGCAUCGCACGCGCAAUGCGAAGGUUGUGGGUUCGGUUCCCACCUGCGGCA
rnacentral:tRNA from 1 species